rnacentral:lncRNA from 10 species
GAACUUAGCUGAAGAGUUUCGUGAGCCGGAAGUGCCUCUGAAAGAAGUGAGCAGAGAGAAGGGGUCUCAAGAUGGCCAGGUUUUGGACUUACACCAUAGGCUCUACUGGUCCUUAGGCCUUUGGACUGAGGCUGGAACCACAUCCUCAGCUCUCCUGGAUCUCCAGCUUGGCAACUGCAGACCUUGGGACAUUUCAGAUUCCAUAAUCAUGACGAAGGCGAUGGCAGCAGUUUUCCAGGCUAGCUGUCUUCACAACCCGAUGGCUCUCUUCUUUUCUGCUGCCACAGAGACUGACUGUCUGCCUCCUGCAAAUUUGAAAUUUGGCAAACCUGCCUCCUCUGCUUCUCAGAACCAAACUGGGGCCAGGAGAACUUCUGACCCAAGUGUUGAUCACCUCUCUUCCUGCACCUCACUGUGCACCCUCUGCUCAGGAAAUGCCUUUGGCGUGUUGCUGACGUCUGUCCCUGCUCCAUCUCUUACCACCCUGCACUUCACCCUUUCCCACACAGGUUUCACCUGAUCUCAGCUGCUUUGGGCAGACCAUCCAGGUAUUUUGGAGUCUGAAAAGGAUCUCUGUCUCUAAGUCUGGUGCAAAUGGAGUUUGGGGGUUUUAAAAUUCAUUCUUCUUGCUGCUGUUUCACAAUUUCUCAGAAAAGGUGAAAAUGCAGACUUUGGCAGUUAUGUUCAAUAUGAAAAGUCUUAAUAAAGUAAUUUUUGACCUAAAGCCCACCAGUAUUUCUGGAACAAUUCAGUCAAUCUUUGAACUUGGUCACAUAAAGUCUUAUUAGAAACACAACGGGGAUUUUGGAGACAGGACUAGUGAACUUUGUGUAGUUAAAUAGAAACUUGAAUUGCCAGUGUAGAGUACU